rnacentral:rRNA from 1 species
UUGACGGGGGGGCCGCACANAGCGGUGGNGCAUNUGGUUUUAAUUCGAAUGCAACGCGAAGAACCUUACCUACUCUUGACAUCUACAGAAGCCAGCGGAGACGCAGGUGUGCCUUCGGGAACUGUAAGACAGGUGCUGCAUGGCUGUCGUCAGCUCGUGUUGUGAAAUGUUGGGUUAAGUCCCGCAACGAGCGCAACCCUUAUCCUUGUUUGCCAGCACUUCGGGUGGGAACUCCAGGGAGACUGCCGGUGAUAAACCGGAGGAAGGUGGGGACGACGUCAAGUCAUCAUGGCCCUUACGAGUAGGGCUACACACGUGCUACAAUGGCGCAUACAGAGGGCGGCCAACUUGCGAAAGUGAGCGAAUCCCAAAAAGUGCGUCGUAGUCCGGAUUGGAGUCUGCAACUCGACUCCAUGAAGUCGGAAUCGCUAGUAAUCGUGGAUCAGAAUGCCACGGUGAAUACGUUCCCGGGCCUUGUACACACCGCCCGUCACACCAUGGGAGUGGGCUGCAAAAGAAGUGGGUAGUUUAACCUUCGGGAGGACGCUCACCACUUUGUGGUUCAUGACUGGGGUGAAGUCGUAACAAGGUAACCG